rnacentral:rRNA from 1 species
AUGUCUACUGCAUCGGGCUAUGUUGCUGUCCCUCGCUGUCCGGUGAUCUUCGAUGGUACUAACUACACCGAGUUCGCUGGCUUCAUGCGCAUUCACAUGCGUGGCAUUCGUCUCUGGGGUGUUCUUUCUGCCGAGGUCUGCUGUCCGCCACGUCCGGUCCCUCCGGUGGCCCCUACUCCGCCGACUCCACUGGUUCUUCCUACGGACGCUAAUCAGGCCGCCAAGGAUGCGGCUAAGCUUGCUGAUGAGACUGCUGAUCGUGCUUAUGAUGAGAGGGUUUUGGCUUAUGAGGAGGCUCUUCAGACGUAUCAUGGUGCUUUGUCUGUUUACACCCAGUGGCUUGAUGAUGAUGCUCGUGCUGUAGCUGUUCUCACUGCUAGUGUUCUGCCUCAGUUUGCUUCUGAGUUUCUGGGUCUUCCUACUGUCUUUCAGAUGUGGACCUGUCUUCGUCAGCGCUAUGAGCCCUCUGGUGAUGCCUUAUACCUUUCUGUGGUUCGUCAGGAGUAUGCUCUUCAGCAGGGUGACUCUACUGUUGAUGACUUUUAUGCACAGAGUUCUGCUAUCUGGCGCCAGCUUGAUUCUCUCCGCAGUGCUGGUUGUCGUACUUGCCCCUGCUGCUAG